AUCCUUUUGUUGUUUGUAAAUGGGAUAAUUAGGUUUUCCUGUUCAUGUAUGGAACAUGCCUCCCUCAAAACUCGUUAUGACGUCAACAUCUUACCCAUUUGAUG
ensembl:snoRNA